rnacentral:rRNA from 1 species
UGCCUCAAAAAGCUAC